rnacentral:rRNA from 1 species
AAACUCAAAGGAAUUGACGGGGAGCACCACAACGGGUGGAGCUUGCGGUUUAAUUGGAUUCAACGCCGGAAAUCUUACCGGGACCGACAGCAAUAUGAAGGCCAGGCUGAAGACUUUGCCGGAUUAGCUGAGAGGUGGUGCAUGGCCGUCGUCAGUUCGUACUGUGAAGCAUCCUGUUAAGUCAGGCAACGAGCGAGACCCACGCCCACAGUUGCCAGCGUACUCUCUGGAGUGACGGGUACACUGUGGGACCGCCGCUGCUAAAGCGGAGGAAGGAAUGGGCAACGGUAGGUCAGUAUGCCCCGAAUAUCCCGGGCUACACGCGAGCUACAAUGGUUGGUACAAUGGGUAUCUACCCGAAAGGGGACGGGAAUCUCCUAAAACCAAUCUUAGUUCGGAUUGAGGGCUGCAACUCGCCCUCAUGAAGCUGGAAUCCGUAGUAAUCGCGUUUCAACAGAACGCGGUGAAUACGUCCCUGCUCCUU